AAAUUGAGAUAACGCUGGCGGCAUGCUCACACAUGUCAGUUGAACGGGUUUAAGUCUAUUAAACUUAAACAAGUAGCGGACGGGUGAGUAACGCGUAAGAACCUACCUUUAGGUAAGGAAUAACUAUUGGAAACGAUAGAUAAUACCUUAUAAGCUUAUAGUAAAAGAUAAAAUCGCCUAAGGAUGGGCUUGCGUCUGAUUAGCUUGUUGGUGAUUUAAAAGAUUCACCAAGGCAACGAUCAGUAGUUGGUCUAAGAGGAUGAUCAACCACACUGGGACUGAGACACGGACCAGAGCUCUACGGAGGGCAGCAGUGAGGAGUUUACCGCAAUGGGCGAAAGCCUGACGGAGCAAUGCCGCGUGGAGGAUGAAAGCUUGUGAGUCGUAAACUCCUUUUCCUAGUGAAGAAAUAAGACGGAAUCUAAGGAAUAAGCAUCGGCUAACUCCGUGCCAACAGCCGCGGUAAUACGGAGGAUGCAAGCGUAAUUCGGAAUUAUUGGGCGUAAAGAGUCUGUAAGAAGGUUAAAAAAGAUCUACUGUUAAAUAUUAAGGCUAACCGUUAAAACAGCGGAAUGGAACUAAAAAAACAUGAGUUAAGUAGAGGUAAAAGGGAACUUCUCGGGUGUAAUAGGUAAAAUGCGUAAAACUG
rnacentral:rRNA from 1 species